UACAGAGGUCUCAACCGUUGUUCGGAUUCAUUGGGCGUAAAGGGUGCGUAGGCGGUCGGGUAAGUCGGAUGUGAAAUCUCAGGGCUCAACCCUGAAACUGCAUUCGAUACUGCCUGGCUAGGGUACUGGAGAGGAGACUGGAAUUUACGGUGUAGCAGUGAAAUGCGUAGAGAUCGUAAGGAAGACCAGUGGCGAAGGCGAGUUUCUGGACGGUAACUGACGCUGAGGCACGAAGGCCAGGGGAGCAAACGGG
rnacentral:rRNA from 1 species